rnacentral:rRNA from 1 species
AUUGAACGCUGGCGGCAUGCCUUACACAUGCAAGUCGAACGGUAACAGGUUAAGCUGACGAGUGGCGAACGGGUGAGUAAUGUAUCGGAACGUGCCCAGUCGUGGGGGAUAACUGCUCGAAAGAGCAGCUAAUACCGCAUACGACCUGAGGGUGAAAGCGGGGGAUCGCAAGACCUCGCGAGAUUGGAGCGGCCGAUAUCGGAUUAGGUAGUUGGUGGGGUAAAGGCCUACCAAGCCUACGAUCUGUAGCUGGUCUGAGAGGACGACCAGCCACACUGGGACUGAGACACGGCCCAGACUCCUACGGGAGGCAGCAGUGGGGAAUUUUGGACAAUGGACGAAAGUCUGAUCCAGCCAUGCCGCGUGCGGGAAGAAGGCCUUCGGGUUGUAAACCGCUUUUGUCAGGGAAGAAAAGGUUCUGGCUAAUACCUGGGACUCAUGACGGUACCUGAAGAAUAAGCACCGGCUAACUACGUGCCAGCCGCCGCCGUAAAAC